UUUAAAAAUAAUUAUUAAUAAUUAUAAAAUAAAAAUAAUUUUAUUGUAUAAAAAAUUUUUAGUAAGGUUUAAAGAAUCAAUAAAAAUUAAUUAUAGUGUAAUAGUAUUUAAAAAGAAAUUUGAAAAAAUGAAAAAAUUUUAAUUUUAAAAAAAAAAUUAAUUAAUUGUAUUUUGUGUUUCAAAGUAGACUAAUUAAUUUUUUUAUAUAAAUUAUUUUCGAAUUUUUAUGAUUUAAUAAAUUAAAAUUUUUAAUAUUUUAUAAUUAUGUUAAAUAUUUUGUUAGAAAUUAAAAGUUAAUCGUAUAAAAUUAUAUCUAAUUUUUUAAAAAAAAAUUUAAAAUUUAAAAUAAAAAAUUUAUUUUUUUAAUUAAUUAAUUAAAUAAUUUUUUUAUUUUUAUAUAAUGGGGGAUAAGCUUUAUUAUAAAUUAUUAAAAAUAUAAAAAUUUAUUGAAAUUUUAGUUUUAAAAUUAAAUUUAAUUAAAAAAAAUGUUAUAAUUUAUUUUUUUUUUAUAAAAUUAUUUUUUAAAAUUUUAAUAGUCUAUUAAAAAAAUUUAAUUUAAUGUUAUUAUUUUAUAUAUUCUGGUUUAAUUAGUAAUUUUUAAGUGUGAAAAUAUUUUAUUAUAUCUUUGUAAAAUAAAAGAAUUCGACAAAAAUAGGUGUCCACUUGUUUAACAAAAACAUGUUUUUUUGUAGUUAAUGAAAAAUUUAACCUGCCCAGUGAAAUUUUAACGGCCGCGGUAUAAUGACCGUGCAAAGGUAGCAUAAUCAAUUGUCUUUUAAUUAGAGGCUGGUAUGAAUGGUUGGAUGAGAUACUGAUUAUUUUUAUUUUAUAUGAAUGAAUUUUAAUUUUUAGUAAAAAUGCUAAAAUAAUAUAAAAAGACGAGAAGACCCUAUAAAUCUUAAUUUUAAGGGUUAAAUUUUAAAUUAUUGGAUAUUUUAUUAAAAUUUUAAUUUAAAAUUUUAUUGGGGUGAUAAUGAAAUUUACUAAACUUUUAUUUUUAAGUUGUAUAUGUGUAUAUUUAUUUGAUCCAUUAUUAAUGAUUAAAAAUUUAAGUUACUUUAGGGAUAACAGCGUAAUUAUUUUGGAGAGUUCUUAUUGAUAAAAUAGGUUGCGACCUCGAUGUUGAAUUAAGAGUAAUUUUAAAUGAAGAAGUUUAAAUUUUGAGUCUGUUCGACUUUUAAAUUCUUACAU
rnacentral:rRNA from 1 species